GUGGGGAAUAUUGGACAAUGGGCGAAAGCCUGAUCCAGCCAUGCCGCGUGUGUGAAGAAGGUCUUCGGAUUGUAAAGCACUUUAAGUUGGGAGGAAGGGCAGUAAGUUAAUACCUUGCUGUUUUGACGUUACCAACAGAAUAAGCACCGGCUAACUUCGUGCCAGCAGCCGCGGUAAUACGAAGGGUGCAAGCGUUAAUCGGAAUUACUGGGCGUAAAGCGCGCGUAGGUGGUUCAGCAAGUUGAAGGUGAAAUCCCCGGGCUCAACCUGGGAACUGCCUCCAAAACUGCAUGACUAGAGUACGGUAGAGGGUAGUGGAAUUUCCUGUGUAGCGGUGAAAUGCGUAGAUAUAGGAAGGAACACCAGUGGCGAAGGCGACUACCUGGACUGAUACUGACACUGAGGUGCGAAAGCGUGGGGAGCAAACAGGAUUAGAUACCCCGGUAGUCC
rnacentral:rRNA from 1 species